UACGGAGGGUGCUAGCGUUAUCCGGAUUCACUGGGUUUAAAGGGUGCGUAGGAGGGCAGGUAAGUCAGUGGUGAAAUCUCCAAGCUUAACUUGGAAACUGCCGUUGAUACUAUCUGUCUUGAAUAUUGUAGGGGUGAGCGGAAUAUGUCAUGUAGCGGUGAAAUGCUUAGAUAUGACAUAGAACACCAAUUGCGAAGGCAGCUCACUACACAAUCAUUGACUCUGAGGCACGAAAGCGUGGGGAUCAAACAGG
rnacentral:rRNA from 1 species